ACUGUAUCACUGGCUGAGCACCCAGGUGGUAUUGCUCCAUAUGCCUGAGACCCUAACAAAAGCCUAAUUACAACUCAUAUGCCUGGAGCCAGGACAUGUGCAGGAUGGUGAUGUAACUUUCCUCUCUGGAAUGGGUCCUGCACAAAGGAAUGAUAGUAACAUAUUGCAAAGCCAGACACACAGGGAAAUUUUGACCUAUUGCACCCAGAUGAUGUUACUCUUCUGAUAGAGUCCUGAAAAAAGAGGGAAUUAUUGCAUACUGGUGGGCCCAGCUGCUGAUGAUGCUACAGUCCUUCCUGUGCCAGAGCCACAGACAGUAUUUUGACAUAAUUUCGGCCCAUUUGCCAUGAUGGUCCAAGUUAUAUUGGGAUUCAGCCAAUAGAAGAUAUUUUGCCUGUCAUCCCUAAGCUUAGGACAAUAGACUCUGCCAAGAGAGGGGAUUAUUACAUAUUGCAGAGCCCAGCACCUAGGUGGAGUGACUCUCAUCUUUUUCUUCUACCCCGUAUAUAGCCAGCUUGGUGACCUACUAUUUGAGUCUAUACCCAGGCCCAGACCACAGAUGAAAUUGUGCAAUAUGUGGAACAAACACCUAAACAAUAUAUAACACCUUCCUUGGCUCUGUCUACAAAGGGCACUUUUAUAUAUCACUGGGACCAUCAACCAGGUGAUGUUAAUUAUCUUCCUGAAACCUGUCUACAAAGAGAGUUGUGUCGUAUACCUAGGCCCGUCAUGUAAGUGAUGUCAGUCCCUUCUACUGCCUUGGCCCUGCACUUACAGUGCAUUGUGACACAUAACAAGGUACUGCACACAGACGAUGUGAUUCUCCUUUUUGGGUUCUGCCAAAAGGAAGCAUUGUAAUAAAUCGCUUGGCUCAGUA
ensembl:lncRNA LINC00293 long intergenic non-protein coding RNA 293